AGAGUGGUUGGCUUACACAUGGAGGAUGCCUUUGUGGAACUGUACGGCCCCAGCAUGCGGCCUCUGUUUGAUUUCUCCUGGCUGUCUCUGAAGACUCUGCUCAGUUUGGCCCUGGUGGGAGCUUGCAUCACCCUGGGUGCCUAUCUGGGCCACAAGUGAAGUCAACAUGCCUGCCCCAAACAAAUAUGCAAAAGGUUCACUAAAGCAGUAGAAAUAAUAUGCAUUGUCAGUGAUGUACCAUGAAACAAAGCUGCAGGCUGUUUAAGAAAAAAUAACACACAUAUAAACAUCACACACACAGACAGACACACACACACACAACAAUUAACAGUCUUCAGGCAAAACGUCGAAUCAGCUAUUUACUGCCAAAGGGAAAUAUCAUUUAUUUUUUACAUUAUUAAGAAAAAAAGAUUUAUUUAUUUAAGACAGUCCCAUCAAAACUCCUGUCUUUGGAAAUCCGACCACUAAUUGCCAAGCACCGCUUCGUGUGGCUCCACCUGGAUGUUCUGUGCCUGUAAACAUAGAUUCGCUUUCCAUGUUGUUGGCCGGAUCACCAUCUGAAGAGCAGACGG
rnacentral:lncRNA from 1 species